rnacentral:lncRNA from 1 species
CUACUACUACUACUACAGUAGUACUACUACUAGAAACAGAAAACAUUUUUGGAAAGGCCAUGGGGAUGGGAUGGGGACUACUCCUUAUAUGCCAGUUAAAGUCAGAGAAAAGUUCUUCUAAACAUUCAGUACCUUGAAAAUAAGAUGAGAUUGGACCCUGAUUCAAACAAACCACUAGAAAAGGGUAUUUUGAGAUAACUGUUAAACCACACUGGGUUUCAAUGAUAUUGCUGAUUCUGUUGGGUGUAAUAUUAGUAUUUCAGUUAUGUUUUUAAAAACCGGGGGAAGAGGGUGAGAGUCAUUAUCUGUUAAAGAUCUACCCUUACGUAUUUAUGGAUGAAAAGACAUGAUGGGGGCUGGCUUUAAAAUACUCUAAAACAGGUGCAGGGGAUGGGGGUGAGAUUGAGGAAAUAUCAGUGGGCUGGCAUGUGGUAACUGUAGGAGGUAUGUGACGGGCACAUGGGGCUUAUUAUUGAUUCUCUCUAAUUUUGUGACAAUUUUAAAGUUUCUAUAAUGGAAAGUUGAAAAGUAAGAGAAAAUAGAAGAAGACUCACCAAGCUAAUGGUGACGAUCUCUUCGUAAGCCAGAGAGGACUCCCCAGCAAUCAUGCCUGAGCCCCUCAGAUUCUCCACGCCCAAGCCAUCAUCCUUCCCGAUGAUAUCCGUGAUCAUGUAUCUUCAAAAGCAAGCACAGGUUAAAGGCUGGGCUCUAGCCCCAAAAAAUCCAAGGUGGAUGCAUUUCCCAAGAAGGGACUGACUGGGCAGCAAGGUGAGAGAUUGGAAGCAGACAAAGCAUCCAGAGGCAAAAUGAAAUUGGCAUCUAGAACCCUCAAAAUGAGUGCUAAGAUUUCUAAAAGGGCAAGUGCAGCAUCAACAAUCAUCACCCUGCUCUGUAAUCCCAGCAGUUUGGGAGGACGAGGCGGGCAGAUUACUUGAGGUCAGGAGUUUGAGACCAGCCUGGCCAAUAUGGCGAAACCCCAUCUCUACUAAAAAUACAAAAGUUAGCUGGGCGUGGUGGUGCACGCCUGUAAUCCCAGCUACUUGGGAAGCUGAGGCAGAAGAAUCGCUUGAACCUGGGAAGUGGAGGUUGCAGUGAGCCAAGAUUACACCACUGCACUCCAGCCUGGGUGACAGAGCGGGAUUCUGUCUCAAAUAAAUAAAUAAAUCAUCACACUGCUCCCAUCUGUGAAAGGAAAAUAAAAACUAGGACCACGAUUCACAAUGCCAAAAGGAACAAUUUAAGCUGAAGCUGAGUUGUGCAAGCUGCCUUUCCUUUUGUUUCUUUAGUAAGCAGAUAGAUACAGAUAAAAGCUGAAAUAUCUCCACAGGUAGUUCCUCUAUGUCCACCUUAUCUUAUAGAAAGUGCUGACUUACUGAGCGCAGGAAGAAUACAUAACUGACUUCCCCUGCCUGCGCCUUUUCUCCUGCAACAUGUGAUUACCAGAACUUCCCUCUUUCCCCUCCAGCCUGCUUUUCUCCUUUAAAUACUGAAGCCCUCCAAAUCAUCUUUGAAGAAAGGUACACGCCACAGACGGUUUCUAUGAUUCCGUGUUCUUUGCUUCUGGAUGUGUCCCUAACCUUGGCAAAAUAAACUUCUCAAUUGAUUGAGACCUGUCUCAGAUACUUUUUGGUUUAUACAACCAAAGAUAUCUGCCUGUUCAGGGGCUGUCUCAGUGAAAUAUCACCCUCGGCCCAUAUUCCUCCAACGGUCUACAGAGAGAUGGGGGUACACAGAGGAAACCCAUUCACAAUCAAUCAAUCAAAAAUUCCAGGGCCACAUAAUGAGAAACACUGUCCCGCCAGCCUCUGUUAGAGAUUCACAAUGCACUUUAGCAUGUGUGAUGGUUAAUAUUAAGUGUCAACUUUAGGAUGCAAAGUACUGUUUCUGGGUGUGUCUUUGAGGGUGUUGCUAGAGGAGAUUAACAUUUGAGUCAGUGGACUGGGAGAGGAAGACCCAUCCUCAAUGUGGGUGCGCACCAUCCAGUCAUCCAGCUGCCAGCGCGGCUAGAAAAAGCAGGUGAAAGAAGGUGGAGUAAGCUGCCUUGCUGAGUCUUCUGGCUUUCAUCUUUCUCACAUGCUGGAAGCUUCCUGCCCUCAAACAUCAGACUCCAGGUUCUUCGGCCUUUGGACUCUUGGACUCACGCCAGUGGUUUGC